rnacentral:rRNA from 1 species
CAGGCCUAACACAUGCAAGUCGAACGGGGUAGCAAUACCUAGUGGCGCACGGGUGAGUAACGCGUGGAUAAUCUGCCUUGGAGUGGGGGAUAACUAGUCGAAAGAUUAGCUAAUACCGCAUAAGACCACAGGAGCUGCGGCUCUAGGGGUCAAAGGUUUUUCGUUCCAAGAUGAGUCCGCGUAAGAUUAGCUAGUUGGUGAGGUAAUGGCUCACCAAGGCGACGAUCUUUAACUGGUCUGAGAGGAUGAUCAGUCACACUGGAACUGAGACACGGUCCAGACUCCUACGGGAGGCAGCAGUAGGGAAUAUUGCACAAUGGAGGAAACUCUGAUGCAGCGACGCCGCGUGAGUGAUGAAGGCCUUCGGGUCGUAAAGCUCUGUCGCAGGGGAAUAACACAAUGAAUGUACCCUGUAAGAAAGGAUCGGCUAACUUCGUGCCAGCAGCCGCGGUAAGACGAGGGAUCCUAGCGUUGUUCGGAAUUAUUGGGCGUAAAGCGGAUGUAGGUGGCUUUGUAAGUCAGAUGUGAAAGCCCAGGGCUCAACCCUGGAAGUGCAUUUGAUACUGCGAAGCUUGAGUGUCGGAGAGGUUACUAGAAUUGUUGGUGUAGUGGUGAAAUACGUAGAUAUCAACAGGAAUACCGGAGGCGAAGGCGGGUAACUGGCCGAACACUGACACUGAGAUCCGAAAGCGUGGGGAUCAAACAGGAUUAGAUACCCUGGUAGUCCACGCCUUAAACGAUGGAUACUUGUUGCUCGAGGUAUUGACCCCUUCAGUGACG